ensembl:lncRNA
UAUUAAUCUAAGAUUUGACAGUCUCCAAGAUUCUAUUAUUUUUUAUUGUGGUGCAUAAGUGAGCCAGAAGAACUGAUACAUUUUCGAGGUGUGAUGAAAAUAGUUAUAUACAUUUUUCUAGAAUAAUGUCUUUUUCUGAAUACAUUAUCUGCUAAAGGAGAUUAGAGCUUCUUUAACACACAUUUUAUAUAUAUAUACAAGGUGAACAUUCAAAAGAAAUUAUUGUGAUCUUUUCUGCUCUUUGUGAUUGAAGAAAUAUAUUAUUAUAAGACUGAUUAAAAUUUGAUUCCAAGUUUGAAAAAUAAUGGAAGCACAAUAAAUUCCAAACCAUAAGAAAUUCUGUGUUCUACUGGCAUUAACUGCAUUUUUUUAAAACAGUCUGGUAAUACCUAAGAGAAUAGUUGAUAUAUAUAUAUAUUUGUUAACUCUGAGGGUAGUAAAACACAUAAAACCAUGGCAGUUUUGGUACAAUUAUAAACUCCUAUAUUUUUCUUUCAUCAGAAUUCUUACUAAGGAGAUGAUAUUUCUAUUUAUUAUCUCCAAUGUUAUUUUUAAAAGUAAGUUGAACUCCUAGAGUUUUGAGAUCAACAACUCUGAGGGAAAAUAAAGCAAAUGAAAACACCUACAUAACAAAGGACAACAUUCCACUGCUACUGGAGAGUGGGUGCUCCAGAUCCUGAGUGCUAUCAGCUGCAGCUUCAUUAUCCACACUGUGCCCUGCUUCUGUAUACUAUUCCUGGCAUAAGACCUGUUCUUUCAGACUGCUGUUACCUCCUGCUGUUUCGUUCUGAAUGUGUCACAUGGGAGGCAGCUGGCCCUGGGGAAGGUGUUUGUGGGGAGCAAAGAGGAGGCUGGGGAAGUGCCUGGCUGGCUGCUGACAGCUGAGAUCUUCCCGAAGCACCUAUGGCUCUUGGUACCUCGCCGCUGUGGCUCUUGCACAUGUCUGGGGCUGAGCGGGAUGAAGAUGCGGUGGGAAGAGACCACCCAGUGCCGCUGUCCCCUUGAGGUGUCCAGGAUCCCUUGCACAAUCAGCUGGCCCCAGCAGGUUCCUCCUGACUUCUCCAGACCAGAGUGCACGGCUGGAUAAAUUGCUCCUAGGACUGUGGAAAGUCACCUAUCUGUUAAGACUUGUGGGUCAUGAUGUAUCAACAUCAUGACAGCACAAAUGAUUGCUCUCUUCUCUUUUGCCUGUUUUUGCACCUGAAAAGACCGGCCAUUUGCUGUUGUGCUAAUCUGCUUUGAAGGGUUCAGUCUGCCUCACUGGGCCACAAUGAAUGCUGGGUUUCUCAGUUCUCAAUAGAUUAAUGAAACUCCUGGAUUCCGGUUUCCUGUGCAUGUAAUUGUAGUUACACAGCAAAAUUUGCUUUCUGCUUUUAUGGAUCCGUUAGAAACAGAAGGGUAGAUUUCUCCCCUCCCUCCUCAAAAGAUGGGAACUGUUCUUAAGCAUCAUCUUGUACUUGUCACCCAGGAUAUUGUUGCUUGCCAUCUUUUAGCCAGUGGGGGAAUGAUCUAUUUCCAUGUACUAAUAAUUGACUUGCUGCAGGAUGUCAUUUCUUGGUAGAGCAUACUAGGAAGUAAACCAACAGAUUUAUGGAUAUUCAACUGAUCAUUAAAAGGCAUUCUAAAUCUUACAGAAGCUGACUUCAGGAAGAAUGGGGGAGGGAACAGAUUAUUGACCUGUUGGCAGUCAUGCUAAUUACCCUCUGCAAUCAGGAUUCUCCUAGCUAGA